rnacentral:lncRNA from 1 species
UGAAAAUUUACUGUUCGGUUUCUGCAGUAGGCGCUUAAAGGUUUGUAGAAGCAGCGAGGCAUGAAUGACAGAGUGAACUGAAUGACUGAAAUGAUGACUGACAGUCCCCCGGGGACGCAGUGUGGUAGUCUGUUGCAAGUUUGAGGUCACUGUUGUAUUCUGGUAACUGUUGUAUUUUGUUCCUGUUCAAGUUGCCUCCUUUACCAGCAAGUGCCAGUGACCAGAUUCUCCUGUACCCUGGCUUCUGAGGCCGGAAUCUUUCUGUCAGAUGGGAUCCAGGUUCCCGUGGCCCUGACGAAGCCCAGCCCAGGACACCCUGUCAUGGUGCAUCUCAGUGGAGAAGAGAUGGAACUGCAACUGCGGCUGCGUGUUCCACAGGCCGGCAGCUACGUGGUUAUGCUGGAGUAUGCCACCGAGAUAGACCAAAUGUUUGUGCUCGAAGUGCUUUUGAGGAGCUGGAAGGACCAGAAGGGCCGGGUGGAUGUAUACAGCUGCCAGUACAGCUUUCUCUGCCGGAGCAUCCUGACCAAUGGCCAAGGUCGCAUGGCUGUGUAUGAGCUGCUGGCUGACACGGACAUGAGGAUCAUGGUGCAAAGAGCCAAGUUCCUGCUGUAUCAGGCUUGUGUCAUUCCCGUCGAAGAGUUCUCAGCUGAUUAUCUGAGGCCUGAAGUCCACUGCGUUGCCAGCUAUCGGCUAUUUGAAGAUCCCAGGGUUGCCUGUAUCCCUAUGGACCAUGAGACACCUCCAAA